rnacentral:hammerhead_ribozyme from 1 species
AUCCAGCUGACGAGUCCCAAAUAGGACGAAACGCGCAAACUGGAU